UAUAAUUCAAACUAAGGCUCUUUUUUAUGUUGCUCCUAUGAUAUUUUGAUACUACGGUCGGUCUGUGGGUGUCACCAUCUAUGUCAUAGUGAGUUCCUCUGUUCCGGGAGACACGUACAAUUGUGAAUUUUCCGGAUGAUAGUAUUCAAACAUGAAUGUCAGUGCGCGCCCUGGAAUCGACCGGGCGUCCCGCCGCGCCACUGAGGCAUCUCGCUCGGGUCCCGGCCCGCGGAUGUCGCGCGCAUGCGUGCGCCGCGCCACCCACGCCUGUCGCCGCCACACUGCGAGCUGUACAUUACGUGUGGACACUGUGCGGCCGCACGCACCUGUGCUCUACAUAUAGCAAUAAGCAGCGUACGCGCUGUUACGAGCGACCGCUAGCCUCACGCGCCAAGCAUCACAAUGAGCGGUCACUGAUAGGACAAGAAGCAUAAAAAUGACGUCACCACUCCGCUCCAGAGUGCCACGAUGGAGAGAUGUAUUUCUUGUUAUAUUUGAUUAUCUCUUAUAGCAAAUUAUAAUCACUGGUUCAUGUUUA